UGGCUCAGAUUGAACGCUGGCGGCAGGCCUAACACAUGCAAGUCGAGCGGAAACGACAMCAUYGAWUCUUCGGAKGAUUUAGWUGGGCGUCGAGCGGCGGACGGGUGAGUAAUGCCUAGGAAAUUGCCUUGAUGUGGGGGAUAACCAUUGGAAACGAUGGCUAAUACCGCAUAAUGCCUACGGGCCAAAGAGGGGGAUCUUCGGACCUCUCGCGUCAAGAUAUGCCUAGGUGGGAUUAGCUAGUUGGUGAGGUAAUGGCUCACCAAGGCGACGAUCCCUAGCUGGUCUGAGAGGAUGAUCAGCCACACUGGAACUGAGACACGGUCCAGACUCCUACGGGAGGCAGCAGUGGGGAAUAUUGCACAAUGGGCGAAAGCCUGAUGCAGCCAUGCCGCGUGUAUGAAGAAGGCCUUCGGGUUGUAAAGUACUUUCAGUUGUGAGGAAGGGGGUAACGUUAAUAGCGUUAUCUCUUGACGUUAGCAACAGAAGAAGCACCGGCUAACUCCGUGCCAGC
rnacentral:rRNA from 1 species